UUUACCUGARGGCGGUGCGCUAACCCGCAAGGGAGGCAGCCGACCACGGUMRGGUCAGCGACUGGGGUGAAGUCGUAACAAGGUAGCCGUAGGUGAACCUGCAGAAGGAUCA
rnacentral:rRNA from 1 species